GGAAUAUUGGACAAUGGGGGAAACCCUGAUCCAGCCAUGCCGCGUGUGUGAAGAAGGCCUUUUGGUUGUAAAGCACUUUAAGCGAGGAGGAGGCUACUUAGAUUAAUACUCUAGGAUAGUGGACGUUACUCGCAGAAUAAGCACCGGCUAACUCUGUGCCAGCAGCCGCGGUAAUACAGAGGGUGCGAGCGUUAAUCGGAUUUACUGGGCGUAAAGCGUGCGUAGGUGGUCUUUUAAGUCGGAUGUGAAAUCCCUGAGCUUAACUUAGGAAUUGCAUUCGAUACUGGGAGACUAGAGUAUGGGAGAGGAUGGUAGAAUUCCAGGUGUAGCGGUGAAAUGCGUAGAGAUCUGGAGGAAUACCGAUGGCGAAGGCAGCCAUCUGGCCUAAUACUGACACUGAGGCACGAAAGCAUGGGGAGCAAACAGGAUUAGAUACCCCAG
rnacentral:rRNA from 1 species